rnacentral:rRNA from 1 species
AUUGAACGCUGGCGUCAUGCCUUACACAUGCAAGUCGAACGGCAGCACGGGGCAACCUGGUGGCGAGUGGCGAACGGGUGAGUAAUGCAUCGGAACGUGCCAUUGAGUGGGGGAUAACGUAGCGAAAGUUGCGCUAAUACCGCAUAUUCUGUGAGCAGGAAAGCAGGGGACCGCAAGGCCUUGCGCUCUUUGAGCGGCCGAUGUCAGAUUAGCUAGUUGGUGAGGUAACGGCUUACCAAGGCGACGAUCUGUAGCGGGUCUGAGAGGAUGAUCCGCCACACUGGAACUGAGACACGGUCCAGACUCCUACGGGAGGCAGCAGUGGGAAUUUUGGACAAUGGGCGCAAGCCUGAUCCAGCCAUGCCGCGUGAGUGAAGAAGGCCUUCGGUGUU